AUAACUGAAGCACUGGAGGCUGAGGGACCCCUUCGAGACAAUGUUUCUUUCCGGUGAUGGAUCAGCUUCCUGACAGAGACACAGACAUACCGUGGCGGGGAGGCUCCUUCCUACUCCCGAAGUCCUCACUUGUAUCUCUGGCCCUAUGAAGGAGCCCACCCACUGCCACGCUCAAGGGAAGUGGUACCUGCCCCUCCCAGACACUCACUGCAGGACUCCACGCUGCUCCAGGCUGUACUUGCCACCUUCCCGCAUGGCUGUGUUGUGCACGGCCUCAAUGGCCCGGUCAAUUGCUUGGAGGACAUCUUGCUCCAUGCCCUAAAGAAGCUCUCCAGGCACAAGGUAGUAGCUCUUUGGGGCAGUGCUGGCAAGUCUUUGUGAAGACAAGACUGGAAUGACCAUGGGGCUGCUGAGGAGCCGUGGCAGGUGUUCAAGCCAAAACCACCCUGUCCAAAACUACAUGUCCUCCACCUGGGCUCAUGGCUACCAAUAGACCAGAGACCAGUGGCUACUUGAGACCCCAGCAUGGGGUCCAGGGUAUCUGAGAUUACUAUGUCCAGCCAAUUAAUUACUUGCUGCCAACACAGAAAUCAAGGACCCAAGUAUUGAA